rnacentral:snoRNA from 1 species
CCCCUCUCAGGGUCGCACCUGGAGAGUUUCCAGUACUCUAUCAGUCUUGACUACAGGAGGGAGAGUCAAGCAGAGGCAUAUCCAUUCCAUUCCUAGCUUGGUCGGUGGCCAGCGAGUGGAAGGCCAUCUGCUACAAGU